rnacentral:rRNA from 1 species
UCGACUGUUUUAACAAAAACAUCGUUUCCCGCCAACAAACAUGGGAAAUAAUGCCUGCCCAAUGAUCUAAACGAUUCAAUGGCCGCGUUAGCGUGAUCGUGCUAAGGUAGCGUAACAAACAGCCCCCUAAUUAGAGGCCAGUCAAAGGCAACACGGAGAGCCACUAUAUCGACUUUAUAACUAAAACUUACCCUUUAAGUGAAAAGGCUUAAAUAAAUUAAAAAGACAAAAAGCCCCUGCGGAACUUUUCUUAAAAGCUGCCAGUACUAAACGACCACAAAGCCACAAGAUUGGUUGGGGCAACCAAGGGACAACAAACUCCCUCAUAGCAUAACAAACACAUACAAAAUCUGUUACAGCCCAUAGACGCAGUUACCCCAGGGAUAACAGCGUAAUCCAAUUAGAGAGUACACAUUGAAAAUUGGGUUUGCGACCUCGAUGUUGGCUUAGGAAAACAGUUAGGCGCAGCCGCCAAACUUGUUAGUCUGUUCGACUAUUAAACCCCUACAUGAGCUGAG